AACGAACGCUGGCGGCGUGGAUAAGACAUGCAAGUCGAACGGGAUUUUUUUCUGUAGCAAUACAGGAAAAAGUCUAGUGGCGAACGGGUGCGUAACACGUGAGCAACCUGCCGUGAAGUGGGGGAUAGCUCGCCGAAAGGCGAAUUAAUACCGCAUGUGGCCAAGGAAGACAUCUUCCUGACGCCAAAGCCGGGGCAACCUGGCGCUUCUCGAGGGGCUCGCGGCCUAUCAGCUUGUUGGUGAGGUAACGGCUCACCAAGGCUAUGACGGGUAGCUGGUCUGAGAGGACGACCAACCACACUGGAACUGGGACACGGUCCAGACACCUACGGGUGGCAGCAGUCGAGAAUUUUUCACAAUGGGGGAAACCCUGAUGGAGCGACGCCGCGUGGAGGAUGAAGGUUUUCGGAUUGUAAACUCCUGUCAUUAGGGAACAAGGCACACGGUUUAACUGACCGUGUGUUGAUAGUAUCUGAAGAGGAAGAGACGGCUAACUCUGUGCCAGCAGCCGCAGUAA
rnacentral:rRNA from 1 species